GAUGAACGCUAGCUACAGGCUUAACACAUGCAAGUCGAGGGGCAGCGGGAUUGAAGCUUGCUUCAAUUGCCGGCGACCGGCGCACGGGUGAGUAACGCGUAUCCAACCUUCCGUACACUCAGGGAUAGCCUUUCGAAAGAAAGAUUAAUACCUGAUGGUAUGAUGAGAUCGCAUGGUAUCAUCAUUAAAGAUUUAUCGGUGUACGAUGGGGAUGCGUUCCAUUAGGUAGUAGGCGGGGUAACGGCCCACCUAGCCUACGAUGGAUAGGGGUUCUGAGAGGGAAGGUUCCCCCCACAUUGGAACUGAGACACGGUCCAAACUCCUACGGGAGGCAGCAG
rnacentral:rRNA from 1 species